rnacentral:rRNA from 1 species
CCGUAGGAGGCAAGCGUUAUCCGGCUUUCCUGGGCUUCCCUUUCUUUCCUUCUUUUUUCUCCUUUCUUUUUUCCCUCCCCCAGUCUUCACCGGGCGAGGACAAUGAAGACUGGUCAGCUAGAGGACGGUAGAGGGGUGUGGAAUUCCGGGUGUAGUGGUGAAAUGCGUAGAGGUCCGGAGGAACACCAGAGGCGAAGGCGACCCCCUGGGCCGUACCUGACGCUAAGACGCGACAGCACGGGGAGCGAACGG